rnacentral:rRNA from 1 species
CGGGGGGAGCAAGCGUUGUUCGGAUUUACUGGGCGUAAAGGGCGCGUAGGCGGCACCGCAAGUCGGCUGUGAAAUCUCCGGGCUUAACUCGGAAAGGUCAGCCGAUACUGCGGGGCUAGAGUGCAGAAGGGGCAACUGGAAUUCUCGGUGUAGCGGUGAAGUGCGUAGAUAUCGAGAGGAACACCUGCGGCGAAGGCGGGUUGCUGGGCUGACACUGACGCUGAUGCGCGAAAGCUAGGGGAGCGAACGGGAUUAGAUACCCCGGUAGUCCUAGCCUUAAACGAUGAAUGCUUGGUGUCUGGGGUUUUAUAGUCCCCGGGUGCCGUCGCUAACGCUUUAAGCAUUCCGCCUGGGGAGUACGGUCGCAAGACUG